AGGCUUUGUGGCCCGUGGUGGGCAAACAUGGGGCUUGUGGCUCAGAGCGAGUCCCACAAAUGUUGGCUGGGUCAUUGAAGUGGACGGCUGGAAAGCUCUUUCAGUUCCCAGAGAGCUGGGCCGCGGCUGGUGUGUGGUGCUGAGGCGGCGGCCUGAGGCUGGCAGAGGGGAUGGUGUGUCCUAUGUGCACCAGUGGGGACCCACAGUGGCUUCAGGGUGCAGGGUGUCCGGGGAGCCCUGGCUGGUGCCAGUGAUAUGAGGCCCCUGGUUGUAAGGAUGAGCAGAUGGAAGCUCACAGGGGCCCCAAGUGGCCCAGGCUAGCCCGGGCAGGCCCCUCUGCCCUGUGCCCCGUGGAGCUGCAGCCCUGUGUGUCUUCCCGCCUGGAAGCGUUCACCAGACACAAGGGCCCAGCCCCAGCUGUGUGUGUGUUGAGCCCAGUCCCGAGGGCCCCAUUCCUCCCCAUUCCUCCCCAUUCCUUCCCAGGCUUUCGGGCAGAGCCCUCUUGUUUACCGCCUCCAGGAGGGCGGGGGUCCUAGUGGGCCCAGCCUCAUCUCUGUCCUCGCGUUCCAGGCCUGCUUUCCUCCUGCUGGGUGGGGGUUGUGCCCUGGCCCACGUGGGUUGGGGAUGGUGGCCCCAGGGAGGGCUCCUGGUGCCUGGGGGCUGUGUCCGGGGCAGGUUUCCCUGCCUGGCAGCUGAGCCCUGUCGUGUCUUUGACCCAGACUCGGAGCCGCGGGUCCCGACUGAACAUCAUCAUUAUCGCUGAGGGUGCCAUCGACCGCAACGGGAAGCCCAUCUCGUCCAGCUACGUGAAGGAUCUGGUGGUUCAGAGGCUGGGCUUCGACACCCGUGUAACUGUGCUGGGCCACGUGCAGCGGGGAGGGACGCCCUCUGCCUUUGACCGAGUCCUGAGCAGCAAGAUGGCCAUGGAGGCGGUGAUGGCGCUGCUGGAAGCCACACCUGACACGCCGGCCUGCGUGGUCACCCUCUCGGGGAACCAGUCAGUGCGGCUGCCCCUCAUGGAGUGUGUACAGAUGACCAAGGAAGUGCAGAAAGCCAUGGAUGACAAGAGGUUUGACGAGGCCAUCCAGCUCCGUGGCGGGUAAGCCCCCUCAGCAGACCCCUGCACUCUUACGUGGCUGGGUCCUGGUGCCAGGCAGCACGUGCUGCGGUGGCGCUGGGCACGCCUGGCCUGGAUCAUCCUUCUAGGCACCGCGUCUGAAGAUCGAGGGAGGAAGGGGCCUGCGGGUGGUACAGGAGGCGGGCUGGGAGGUGUGGUGCCGCAGGAGACCCUGGGUGGUGGCAGGGGCAGGGCCUAGUGCACAGGGAUCUGGGCAUGGCGAGGGGAUGAGAAGCUGUGGACGCAAGCCCAGGACAUGGGGUGGCCCCGCAGGGGCUGGAAAGGCUGGCAGAUGUUGGGUGUGGGUGCUGCUCUCCUGCAGGCGUCCCGGCGGCCGGGUCAGGCUGGAUUGGAUGUCUGGUUUCCCAUCCGUGCCCCCACCCGCUACCAAGGUGGCCAACCCUCCCUUGAGCCGGAUGCCAGCCAUGUGCUUUGCUGCACGGGCUGGCAUGGCCUCGUGUUGUGUUGGGGGUCUCGCACCUUCUGUGGAAAGUGCCCUGCCUGGCAUGCGCGGUGUCUGCUGCCUCAUGGCUGAGCUUCCAUCAGGCCGUGUGCCUGUGACCAGCCUCCUGGGCUCUGUCACGGCUGCGCUGUGGCUGUGUGGGGCUGCAGGGCUGUUCAUGGCGUGACCCGAAUCCUUUCCAGGAGCUUCGAGAACAACUGGAACAUUUACAAGCUCCUCGCCCACCAGAAGCCCCCCAAGGAGAAGGUGAGGCAGGGAGUGGCGCCCACAGAGGGAAGAACGGGCUCGGUUAUUCUGCAGCCUCUUCACGCUGGCCCCUGUGCCUGCCCCCGCCUUCCCUCCUGCUGGGGUCCGAGCUGUGAGCUGGGAGGGUGGGCUUGACCUCUGCCUGGGCUCAGGCACCACUGUGGCUGGCAGGUCCCGGGUGCUGGGACCCUGGCUGCAAGGGCUGGCUGUUGCUUCUCAAUGGUUGAUGGAAAUGAAGUCAGGCCCACAGGCUUAACUCAGGAGAGGAGGAGCCAUUGUGUAGAAAAUGUCCCCUGUGGCCAGGCUCACGCCUGUAAUCCCAGCACUUUGGAAGGCUGAGGUGGCCGGAUCACCUGAGGUCAGGAAUUCGAGACCAGCCUGGCCAACAUGGUGAAACUCUGUCUCUACUAAAAAUACAAAAAUUAGCUGGGCAUGGUGGUGGCACAUGCCUGUAAUCCCAGCUACUUAGGAGGCUGAGGCAGGAGAAUAGCUUGAACUCGGGAGGUGGAGGGUACAGUGAGCCGAGAUCGUGCCAUUGCAUUCCAGCCCGGGCGACAAGAGUGAAACUCUGAAAAUAAAAUGUCCCCAAACAGCUGAAAACCUCAGGAAAUGGGAUCUCUCCAAAAUAAGGAUGAAAUGGCUUGUUUCUAAAGUCCUGGGGGACAACGAGGGUCCUGUAGAGAGUCAUGGCCGGUGAGGUCCUGGCUCCCAAGCCCCUUGAGCCACAGCCGGAGCUGCAGGCCGGGGCAGACAGCAUGGCCCAGCCUGGGUCUGAUCCUCCCUUUCGUGGUCAUCUUUGGGUGUCCCUGCUUAUCCCCAGAGCUAGUCAGUGGGCUCCACCCUCUGUGGUGGGGCAACAUGGUCUCCAUGAACCCAGAACCUGGCACGGGCGUGACUGGCUUUGUGGGCAGCAGGGCUGGCUCGUACCAGGACCCAGUGGGGCCAUGUGGCUACGGAGCCCUUGGGUGUGGCUGCUGCCAAGUGGGGUGUGCUGCACGUGACAGGUGCACGCCAGGUUCAGCACGGGGGGUGGAGGGGAGCCUCAGCACGGGGGCUGGAGGGGAGGUGGUGGCGGCCGUCACUGGGUUCACAUGGACAUAGUGGGGUUUUGGGUCCAUCAGGUUAAAUUAACUGUCGUCCUGAUGGGGCUGUCUCCACAUCUUUUCCCUUAACGUGGCUACUAGAAAACAGGAUGGUCAGGGCCCCUUCCUUACUCGCGGCUGUGCACUCCCACCACCCGCUGCCAGCCCCUUGUGUGGGCACUGACCUGUGCUCCUGCCCCCAAGCCUGACUUCACAACGGUGCUCGCCCCCUCUGCCUCCUCUGCUGCCUGCGUGCCAGGGGACCAGGCUUGCACCGUGUCUCUUUUGGUCUUCACCGGAAUCUUCUGGAAUUAGAACAGAUACCGUAUUCCCAGAGCAGUUGCUGUGCUGGGCAGUGUCCAGGCUGGUGGCAGGGCCUGGCCCCUUUUUCCAGAACCUGCCGGCCUGCCGACUUCCUGUGCAGGUUGGGGGUCCCCUCCCCGGCCGUGCCUCACGCUCGUCUCCCCUUCUCUCUGAAGUCUAACUUCUCCCUGGCCAUCCUGAACGUGGGGGCCCCAGCGGCUGGCAUGAAUGCGGCUGUGCGCUCGGCGGUGCGGACUGGCAUCUCCCAUGGACACACAGUAUACGUGGUGCACGAUGGCUUUGAAGGCCUAGCCAAGGGUCAGGUGCAAGAAGUAGGCUGGCACGACGUGGCUGGCUGGUUGGGGCGUGGUGGCUCCAUGCUGGGGACCAAGAGGACCCUGCCCAAAGGCCAGCUGGAGUCCAUUGUGGAGAACAUCCGCAUCUACGGUAUCCACGCCCUGCUGGUGGUCGGCGGGUUUGAGGCCUAUGAAGGGGUGCUGCAGCUAGUGGAGGCUCGCGGGCGCUACGAGGAGCUCUGCAUCGUCAUGUGCGUCAUCCCAGCCACCAUCAGCAACAACGUCCCUGGCACCGACUUCAGCCUUGGCUCCGACACCGCUGUAAAUGCCGCCAUGGAGAGCUGUGACCGCAUCAAACAGUCUGCCUCGGGCACCAAGCGCCGUGUGUUCAUUGUGGAGACCAUGGGGGGUUACUGUGGCUACCUGGCCACCGUAACUGGCAUUGCUGUCGGGGCCGACGCCGCCUACGUCUUCGAGGACCCUUUCAACAUCCAUGACUUGAAGGUCAACGUGGAGCACAUGACGGAGAAGAUGAAGACGGACAUUCAGAGGGGCCUGGUGCUGCGGUGAGGCUGCCAUGGGUCCCCGGCCACAGCUGAGCUUCCAACCCUCGGGGCUAGGGGUGGGGCUGCUGAGGAGCUGCUGGGCAGGAGAAGGCAGGAGGGGUCCUUGGAGAGGGUGGGCCAGGGCGGCUUUCCUGGGAGCUGCCACUCCCUCUCCCAGGCCUGGCCCAGCGGGGACUCAGGAUCUGGGGGAGACCUGAACUCGUUCCCCGCUGACUCAGGCCCUGCUGUCCCUCUCAGGAACGAGAAGUGCCAUGACUACUACACCACGGAGUUCCUGUACAACCUGUACUCAUCAGAGGGCAAGGGUGUCUUCGACUGCAGGACCAACGUCCUGGGCCAUCUGCAGCAGGUGUGGGGCAGGGGUGAGGCUCUGAGAGGCCUGCCCCUCUUCCCUGCCACCAUCUGUCCCUGGGCCCAGAGGUCCCAGCCCUCACGGGCACCCACAGGCACUCCCUGCAGGCCCUCGGGCACGUGUGCCCUUCCCCAGUGAGGGGACUGAGGCCUGUAUCUAGGUGAGGUCUCAUUCCAAGAAGGGGUGGGGCUGGGGCUGGAGCCGGGGCCCAAGCCAGGGCACUCACAUGCUGAGCCGAGCUCCCCACCCCUGCCAGGCCUCCCGCGGCCACUUCCGCCGAGCCCCUCACCUAGAUCCUGGUAUGUUCCCUGCCUUACGGUGGCCCUGCAGGAAGCCUGCGUCCUGGGGUUUUCUGAGCCAGGGAGGGGAGUCAGGGUGGCUGGGCCUGGGGCCCGAGGUGAUGGGGCUGGAGGUAGGGCCGCUGGCUGCCGAUGCAGGGCCCAGGAGUCACUUGACUUGGCCAGGGGGCAGCCGACUGCCGACCUCGGGAGGCAGCUUCUGGCCUGGACUUGGAGCUGGAGAGAGCAGGCAGGGUCCUCGAUCGGGAACAGACGGGAACUGUGCACGGGUUGGAAGGAAUGGGUGUUCAGAAGCUGCCUGGGAGGCUCCCCCUGGGGACCCUGUCCGCACUGGGGUUGGGCCUCCCCUUUCCUUGGCCCAGGCAGCCCAGGGGAGUCCAGGAACCGGGCCUCACCUGUUUCCAGGGUGGCGCUCCAACCCCCUUUGACCGGAACUACGGGACCAAGCUGGGGGUGAAGGCCAUGCUGUGGUUGUCGGAGAAGCUGCGCGACGUUUACCGCAAGGGACGGGUGUUCGCCAAUGCCCCAGACUCAGCCUGUGUGAUCGGCCUGAAGAAGAAGGCGGUGGCCUUCAGCCCCGUCACUGAGCUCAAGAAAGACACUGAUUUCGAGCACCGCAUGCCGCGGGAGCAGUGGUGGCUGAGCCUGCGGCUCAUGCUGAAGAUGCUGGCACAAUACCGCAUCAGUAUGGCCGCCUACGUGUCAGGGGAGCUGGAGCACGUGACCCGCCGCACCCUGAGCAUGGACAAGGGCUUCUGAGGCCAUGCCCACGCCCCUCCCCAGCCCCCACCCAUGCCAGCCGCAGCACCAGGGCUCAGAUGGGGCCUGGGCUGUUGUGUCUGGAGCCUGCAGGCAGGUGGAGGCUGUGUCCCUGCUCAGCCCACCCCCUGCCUCUAUCCCUGGCCACCUGCCAGGCCUCUCUGGGGCUGGUGUCUUGAGACCAGCCUGCCAGGCCCUCCAGCAGGAGGACAGGGCGCCCUGGGGCAUCCACCUUCCUGCCCAGGGGACGCGGCGCUGUCGGUGUUUGGAGGCUGCCGCCCCCUGGCUUUGGCGCCCCAUGGGCCCUCAGCGUCUCCCCACGCUGGGCUCACUACAUGGGCCAGCCCUCACCCUACAUGGCCUGUAGGCUGCUGGCGCCUGGGUUGUGUUGAGAGGGGGACGCCCCUGGCCCUGCCUCACUGUGACCUGCUCCUGCCCACGUGCAGCACCCGUCACCUUUUCUAGAAAUAAAAUCACCUUGACUGUGGGGUGCAUCGGUCUCUGGAGAGCA
rnacentral:sRNA from 1 species